GUAGUAUUCCCUCCGUCCCAAAAGUCUUGUCUUACAUUUGUUUAGAUACGGAUGUAUCUAACACUAAAAUGUAACUAGAUACAUCCAUAUUUAGACAAAUUUAAGACAAGAAUUUUGGGAUGGAGGGAGUACAAA
rnacentral:pre_miRNA from 1 species